GCUAAUCAUGGAUGAACGCUGGCGGCGUGCCUAAUACAUGCAAGUCGAGCGAACUGAUUAGAAGCUUGCUUCUAUGACGUUAGCGGCGGACGGGUGAGUAACACGUGGGCAACCUGCCUGUAAGACUGGGAUAACUUCGGGAAACCGAAGCUAAUACCGGAUAGGAUCUUCUCCUUCAUGGGAGAUGAUUGAAAGAUGGUUUCGGCUAUCACUUACAGAUGGGCCCGCGGUGCAUUAGCUAGUUGGUGAGGUAACGGCUCACCAAGGCAACGAUGCAUAGCCGACCUGAGAGGGUGAUCGGCCACACUGGGACUGAGACACGGCCCAGACUCCUACGGGAGGCAGCAGUAGGGAAUCUUCCGCAAUGGACGAAAGUCUGACGGAGCAACGCCGCGUGAGUGAUGAAGGCUUUCGGGUCGUAAAACUCUGUUGUUAGGGAAGAACAAGUACAAGAGUAACUGCUUGUACCUUGACGGUACCUAACCAGAAAGCCACGGCUAACUACGUGCCAGCAGCCGCGGUAAUACGUAGGUGGCAAGCGUUAUCCGGAAUUAUUGGGCGUAAAGCGCGCGCAGGCGGUUUCUUAAGUCUGAUGUGAAAGCCCACGGCUCAACCGUGGAGGGUCAUUGGAAACUGGGGAACUUGAGUGCAGAAGAGAAA
rnacentral:rRNA from 1 species